AGGUCAUGACAGCAGAGCUCUCAUGAAUGAGAUUAACGCCCUUAUAAGAUCCAAGAGACACAACUCAGUUUUUUUUCAGCCACAUAAGGAUACAAAGAGAAGUCAGCAGUCUGCAACCCAGAAGAGGGCCUUCACCAGAACUCAAUCAUGUUGGCAGACUUCCAGCUUCCAGAACUGUGAGAAAUAAAUAUUUAUUGUUUAAGUCACGCUGAAUAUGGUUGCUAUAGCAACCUGAGUUGACUAAGACACCAGGUGACUCCUAUUUACACAGCAAUAGACAACCAACAUACCAAGUGACCCAGAUGCAGAGUAGCAGGCCCUAGCCUGGACCACACCUUCAGAACCACUGACCCAAAUCAAGCAUGAUGCUCAGCCAAGGUCCUGGAAUUUACCCCAGGUUCCAAACAAGAGAUCAGAUCGCAGCAUUGAGGCAGGUCGUCCGCCAUCGGGGUUUUGGAGAAUGCUCUCUGACCCCUUGCCUCUAUAUAUGAACCAACAAAUAUUAAACGCUCAUUGUGUGUGAAAGACUGAACAAGGACUAUGUGAAGACAGAAGGCUACCAGACCAGCCAAAGAACCUAGAAGGGAAGAAAGGAAAAGUUUUCCAGCCCUACAGUUGGUGACCAGAAAGAGACCUUCACUGGCUGGACACUGCUUUCUCCUGGACAAAUGCAGCUGAGAGAUCCUGGGAACUCUGACAAGAGCCUGCAGAGAUAUAAGGAAAUCUUUCAUCUUAAGCUAACUAUGACCUACACCAAUUUGGGAGAAGCGCUAAAUACAAGUGCCACAGAAGGUCAAAGGAAGGAGUCUGCCAAGAGCUGGCACGGGAUAAGCAGAGGUGGAGCAAACACUGCAGACCCAUGGAGAUUAAGAAGGACCUUAGAGAGAAGAUCCUGUCUGCAAGGCAGGACAUGGCAGGGGGGCUGGAGGGGUGGGGGAAGGUGAUGGGGGCAGGCAGUGGAGGCAACACAGACAGAAUACAGAGUGUCAAAGAUAAAGCUGGACACUAGUUAAAGUGUUAAGGACAGAUCUUAAUCAGUAAUAUACUAUUGCAACAAGGAGAAGAGUCCAGCGUGAACUGAACUCAACUUCAACUUGUACAGAGGUGACUGGGCAUUUUAAAGGGAGGGAAUGGGGAAGGGGUGAGUGGGGGCUCAGUAGAGUCAGGAAGUGAAAAAUCACAAAAAGCAGGAAGGAGGGUUGGUCCACGUGAAACCCAUCUGGUUUUGCUAACUGGCUCUUAUCAAAGUUCGCCUCCUCUCCUGCCACAGAGCUGAGGAGACAGGGGCUCUAUUUUCAGAUGUUGGCUGGAACAAAUAGUAAAUUCUUUCAACAGCCUUGAGUUUUCUCAGACAGGCACUUGAAGAGGGGCUAGGGUCAUCCUAGGGAUGCGGCCUUGAGCUGUUAGCAACCAUGCUAGUGUUUGUUCAAGUCUUCAUAGGCCAAGGUUGAGGCCUAGUGGAGAGGAGGGCUCAGAGGAUCCUGGCUGGAGUUUGACCAAGGAGAGAGUCUGUCAGAGGGCAGCUCUAGCCAGCUGACCUGGCAUUGACAGAGUUCUCUACAUAGAAGAGCAGUAGAUUGGGUUGAUAAUGACAGAUAAACCAGACUGGUGAUUUUAACUCUCCUUUAGCAAGAGGGUAAGCACCAGUCUCAAUUUGCCCAAGACUGAGUGGUUUCCCAGGAUGGGAGACAUUUGGUGCUAAAAUGCGGAAAAUCAGGCAAAUAGGGACCCAUCAAUCAUCAUCCUACUUGGAGGCAUCAGGAACCUGGGAAAGGUUAUUGAGCAGGAAGGCAGCGUGUGUAAGAACUAGUGGUGUCAGGUGAUUCCUCCAGCUGUGAAACAUUAAAGACCCACUCUCUCCCCCACCCCCGCAUGCACCCCCCCAAGCCUCGCUGGCAGUUUAGCAGGCGUCACUGCACCCUGUGUGCUUAUUACCGCACCCUGGCAUGUUAGCUCUGGGCAUCUUAGUUUUCCACUCAGUUUCUAAGCUGAGAUGGGUCUCUCUCCUCUGCUUUGGGAACAUCAAACACACAACACUGGACUUCAGGAAUUGUUGGAGACUGUCAGAACACUCACUGCUGGAUCUGCAUUUAAAGAACAUUAAGGAAUUUGACUCCAGAGGCAGAAGGACUGGGUUGGAAUUCCCUCACCACAAUAUCUAGCCAUGUGACCCUGUGCACUGUGUUCCUUUCCCUAAGCGUCAGCCUCCUCAUCUGUAAAAUAGAGAUAAAAACACCACCCAUCUCACGGAGUGAGUGUGAGAAUUCAAUGAGAUUAAGCAUGAAAGGUCCUUAACAGGGUGCCUGGAAUGCAUCACACAUUCCGUGAGUAGCAGCUAUGGUUAGAAUUGCGGUGGCUGUUUUGUUGUUAAGCAUGGAAAAGUGGCACAAUUUUAUCCAUAGUGUUUAAAGGUCAACAUCCUGAAAUAUUUCCACCAGGUUAGAUUUUCAGGUGAAAUAAACAAACGUGAGGAAUCUGUCAUAUAAACACAACUUGACCCUCAGUCCCUUAGGCUUAUGUAAUGGCCACUUGGAGAUUUUUAGAAAAACAAAGUAGACUAGUGAAAAAUGCCUGUAUUGCUCCUGGGUGCCAUCCAUCAGCAGGAGAGGCCUCACCCCUGAUUUUAUUUUCCAUGUUAGGGGAAGGCCAAAAGAAGGGGAACAAAAUCCAAUUAACAAAAGCAUAAUUGAUUUCAGAAACUCAUGAACAAGGAGCAUCAUUCUUGCUCUUCAAGCAAAGCUCUAUCAGCAUUGAGUGUGGUUAACAACAGAGAGGUAAAACAUUUAUUUAUUAAUUUUUUUAAAAUAUGCUCCUCUUUUAAAGCCUCAGGAAUGAAGUAAAAUCAAAUCACUCUGUAAAAUAUUGACACUGGAUUAUUGCUGCAGUAAUGAGCAAAAUCCAAAUGAGCAGCACAGCAAGGCACCUGUCAAGGGCCCCUGAGCCCAAGGAGGCUUUGCAAAGGGGGCAGGGCGAGCAGCAGGCACAGGACCCUUUAAAACACAGGAGCAUGUCCAGGCCACAGCAAGGGCACCUCCACCUGGCCCACCCUGCCCCCUGGACUCACAGCCCAGAGAAUCCUGGGUUUGUCACUUGCAAAUUUUAGUACCAGACUUGACCUCUCUAAAGCCUCAGUCUUCUCAGCUGUACAAUGGGGAAGACAAUACUCACUGCCCAGGAUUAUUCUGAAGAUUAAGAGGACAUGCACACAAAGUCCUUAGUUCAGUGCCUGGCACUCAGCGAGCAUCCAACGACUUUUUCUUCUGUCUUCUGAAUCUCUUAGUCCCCCUGACUCUUCUAGACCACCAACUCACACCUUUUCCCAGAACAUUUUGGUGUUACUUUAGCAAUUAUGUCUCAUUUCAUUAGUAUAUGCUUUUCCAACCUAACAACAGGGUAAAUUCUUUAAAGCCAGAGAUGGUUGAUUAUUUAAUAAAUACAUAGCAUGUAUGUGCCAAUCUUGACUCUAAGUCUCUACAAACAUUGACUUAAGUCCUCAGAACAACACUGUGAGGUCAGUACUGUUAGAUUCCUGUGUUACAGAUCAGGAAACUGAGGCAGAGACAGAUUCUGUAACUUGCCAAAGUUGUUGUGUUGAGAUUUGAACUCAUGAGGGCUGGCUCCAGAGACCAUGCUCUUAACCAUCAGACCCUCUGUAUUCUAGACUUCUGUGACCCACUACCACAUGGAAGACCUUCAACAAAGACCCAUCAGUGGAAAGAUGAUUUACUCAACAAGUACCAUCAGUGGAAAGAUGAUUUAGUCAACAAGUACCAUUUUGCACAUGAGGAAACUGAAAAACAGUGAGGUUACAUAGUUUGUCCUGAGUCAGAAAGACAACUUGGAAGCAGAUUAUAGCCCAAAAUGUCAGAUCCCUAGUGGCUUGUUCUUUCUGCCACACCAUCCUGACAGGCUUUUGAAGGAAGAGCUGCCCACUGAUGGAAAGAAAGGAGAGGAAGUCACGUGAACGAGCCUUUGUCCAUGAUCCCACACCUGGGCCAGGUGAAGCCCACACUUCUCUAACCAUGACCCCAUCCACCAUGUCCCAAAUGGGGUCUUCACACUUUGGGUCAGCAUUAACUACUUACUAGCUUUUAUUUAUUUUGAGGAACACUUAGAGUGUGGCAUAUACACGAGAGCCAGCUGAACCUGAAGACACAGGCUACUGGCAGGUCAUGCAAGUGAAGUGGAGGCCCAGCCCAGAUGCCUCACAGGCUCUGCUUGGGGCAAGCGUUCACCAACUUCAAAUAAGCAUCUCAAGUACAGGAGGCUUUCCAAACCAAAUUCUGCUUCUGGAAUGCUGCAAAAGUUUCUUUCAGGUAUCAUUUCUACAUCUUUUCACAAUUCCAUAAAUUAGUUUUUAAAAAUUCAAGAGAAUAAAUCCAUAAUUUUAACCCUUUCUAGUCUAUCAACCCUUUCUAGUCUAUCAAAGUGUUAUGUGCUGCCAGGAAAACUCAUUUUGUAUGGACCUGAGCACAGUCUCAGGGGCCAGGGGCCCAGGUUUGAAUCUCAGCUCCUGAGCUUGACAGUUGUGGGACGCUCGGCUUUGUACCUCAGUGUCCUCGUACUUAAAAGGAUAAUAAUCAUAGUACCUACUUCAUAGGCUUAU